GAUGAACGCUGGCGGCGUGCUUAACACAUGCAAGUCGAACGGAAAGGCUCCUGCUUGCAGGUAUACUCGAGUGGCAAACGGGUGAGUAACACGUGGGUUAUCUGCUCUGCACUUCGGUAUGAGCCUGGGAAACUGUGUCUAAUACCGUAUGGGACGAUGUUUUUGAUACCAUUGUGGAGAGUUUUUUCGGUGUGGGAUGAGCUCGCGGCCUAUCAGCUUGUUGGGGGGGUAAUGCCCUACCAAGGCGUCGCCGGGUAGCCGGCCGGAGAGGGUGUCGGGCAAAAUUGGGAUGAGGAUAGGGCCAGGCUCCCUCGGGGAGGAAGAAGUGGGGAAUAUUGAAAAAUGGGGCAAACCCUAAUGAAGGGCGGCAGCGUGGGGGAUGACGGCCUCCGGGUUGAAACCUCCUUCCGUUAGGGCCGAAGCGCAAGUGACGGUACCUGGAGAAGAAGCACCGGCUAACUACGUG
rnacentral:rRNA from 1 species